CCUACGGGAGGCAGCAGUGGGGAAUAUUGGACAUUGGGGGGAGCCCUGAUCCAGCGACGCCGCGUGAGUGAAGAAGUAUUUCGGUAUGUAAAGCUCUAUCAGCAGGGGAGAAAGAAAUGACGGUACCUGACUAAGAAGCCCCGGCUAACUACGUGCCAGCAGCCGCGGUAAUACGUAGGGUGCAAGCGUUAUCCGGAUUUACUGGGUGUAAAGGGAGCGUAGACGGCGAUGCCAGUCUGAAGUGAAAGGCGGGGGCCCAACCCCUGGACUGCUUGGGAAACUGUAUGGCUGGAGUGCAGGGGAGGUAAGUGGAAUUCCUAGUGUAGCGGUGAAAGGCGUAGAUAUUAGGAGGAACACCAGGGGCGAAGGCGGCUUACUGGACUGUAACUGACGUUGAGGCUCGAAAGCGUGGGGAGCAAACAGGAGUAGAUACCCUUGUAGUC
rnacentral:rRNA from 1 species